rnacentral:rRNA from 1 species
GAUGAACGCUAGCGGCAGGCUUAACACAUGCAAGUCGAGGGGUAUAGUUCUUCAGAGCUAGAGACCGGCGCACGGGUGCGUAACGCGUAUGCAAUCUACCUUUUGCAGAGGGAUAGCCCAGAGAAAUUUGGAUUAAUACCUCAUGGUAUGUGAGAAUGGCAUCAUUUUCACAUUAAAGUCACAACGGCAAAAGAUGAGCAUGCGUCCCAUUAGCUAGUUGGUAAGGUAACGGCUUACCAAGGCAACGAUGGGUAGGGGUCCUGAGAGGGAGAUCCCCCACACGGGUACUGAGACACGGACCAGACUCCUACGGGAGGCAGCAGUGAGGAAUAUUGGACAAUGGGCGCAAGCCUGAUCCAGCCAUGCCGCGUGCAGGAUGACGGUCCUAUGGAUUGUAAACUGCUUUUGUACAGGAAGAAACACUGGUUCGUGAACCAGCUUGACGGUACUGUAAGAAUAAGGAUCAGCUAACUCCGUGCCAGCAGCCGCCGCCGUAA